AUCUUCAUCUUCAUCUUCAUCUACACCCAAACAAACAAAAACCCUAAUGAAUCUAAUCUUUCAAACUCAAAACACAGCGCAGCUCUCACUCUCUCUCAUCUCAUCAGUCUCUCUCUCGUUUUUCAUCUGGACCGAUCAACCUCGCAAGAGAUCGACUUUCUCUCAUCGCAAGAUCGACCGAUCGACCUCCCUCUCUCAUCGCACCAAUCGACCUCGUAGGAUCGAAUCUUUCUCCAGCAACUCUUAUGUCAGAUGUUGACAAGCAAUUCUUGGCUGCUCCGGUUAAGUCUGCGGUUGACAAAUUCCAGCUCCUUCCCGAGUUCUUGAAGGUGAGAGGGUUGGUGAAGCAACACCUGGACUCUUUCAAG